UGAGGAAUUCGUCGGAAUCUGCCUUUUUGUGGGGGAUAACGUAGGGAAACUUACGCUAAUACCGCAUACGACCUACGGGUGAAAGUGGGGGACCGCAAGGCCUCACGCGAUAGAAUGAGCCGAUGUCCGAUUAGUUAGUUGGCGGGGUAAAGGCCCACCAAGGCGACGAUCGGUAGCUGGUCUGAGAGGAUGAUCAGCCACACUGGGACUGAGACACGGCCCAGACUCCUACGGGAGGCAGCAGUGGGGAAUAUUGGACAAUGGGCGCAAGCCUGAUCCAGCCAUACCGCGUGAGUGAAGAAGGCCCUCGGGUUGUAAAGCUCUUUUGUUGGGAAAGAAAUCCUGUUGGCUAAUACCCGGCAGGGAUGACGGUACCCAAAGAAUAAGCACCGGCUAACUUCGUGCCAGCAGCCGCGGUAAUACGAAGGGUGCAAGCGCUACUCGGAAUUACUGGGCGUAAAGCGUGCGUAGGCGGUUCGUUAAGUCUGAUGUGAAAUCCCCGGGCUCAACCUGGGACGUGCAUUGGAAACUGGCGAUCUAGAAUACGGUAGAGGGUGGUGGAAUUCCCGGUGUAGCAGUGAAAUGCGUAGAGAUCGGGAGGAACACUCGUGGCGAAGGCGGCCACCUGGACCAGUACUGACGCUGAGGCACGAAAGCGUGGGGAGCAAACAGGAUUAGAUGCCCUGGUAGUCCACGCCCUAAACGAUGCGAACUGGAUGUUGGGUUCAACUUGGAACCCAGUAUCGAAGCUAACGCGUUAAGUUCGCCGCCUGGGGAGUACGGUCGCAGGACUGAAACUCAAAGGAAUUGACGGGGGCCCGCACAAGCGGUGGAGUAUGUGGUUUAAUUCGAUGCAACGCGCAGAACCUUACCUGGCCUUGACAUCCACGGAACUUUCCAGAGAUGGAUUGGUGCCUUCGGGAACCGUGAGACAGGUGCUGCAUGGCUGUCGUCAGCUCGUGUCGUGAGAUGUUGGGUUAAGUCCCGCAACGAGCGCAACCCUUGUCCUUAGUUGCCAGCACUUCGGGUGGGAACUCUAAGGAGACCGCCGGCGACAAGCCGGAGGAAGGUGGGGAUGACGUCAAGUCAUCAUGGCCCUUACGGCCAGGGCUACACACGUACUACAAUGGUGGGGACAGAGGGCUGCGAUCCGGCGACGGUGAGCCAAUCCCAGAAACCCCAUCCCAGUCCGGAUUGGAGUCUGCA
rnacentral:rRNA from 1 species